rnacentral:rRNA from 1 species
UACAGAGGUCUCAAGCGUUGUUCGGAUUCAUUGGGCGUAAAGGGUGCGUAGGCGGCGCGGUAAGCGUGCGGUGAAAGCCCGGGGCUCAACCCCGGGUCGGCCGUGCGGACUGCCGGGCUGGAGCACUGUAGAGGCAGGUGGAAUUCCGGGUGUAGCGGUGGAAUGCGUAGAGAUCCGGAAGAACACCGGUGGCGAAGGCGGCCUGCUGGGCAGUAGCUGACGCUGAAGCGCGACAGCGUGGGGAGCAAACAGGG